GCAGGAGUUACAGUGCUCAUGCGCAGCUGGGCGGUGACGGGGUGACGCUUGGAGCGUGGGCCGCGACUCUCACGGAUCCGGUUCCGCCCUCCCUCUGGCUGCCGAUCCUCCGGAGCGAGCACCCGAGAUCCCUUUCCCAGAGUGCUCUGCGCCGUGAAGAAGCGGCUCCCGGGGACUGGGGGCAUUUUGUGUUGGCUGGAGCUGGAGUAACAAGAUGGCGUCGUCGGCGGAGUGACAGGGGUCCCCUCUGGGCCGGAGCCAGCGGCAGUGCUGGCAGUGGUAUAGACGCCCUAGCUCACCGCGCCCCUUUUCCUGCCCGCGACGUCGCCGCUCAAGCGAGGCAUCGGCGGCCGCCGAGAAACAAGUGGCCCAGCCUGGUAGCCGCGAGAAGCCCUUCACAAACUGCGGCCUGGCAAAAAGAAACCUGACUGAGCGGCGGUGAUCAGGUUCCCCUCGGCUGAUUCUGGACCCCGAACGCCGGUAAAGGCCUCUGUGUUCCGUUUCCUGCCGCCUUCCUCCGUAGCCUUGCCCGGUGGAGGAGCUCGAGAGGUCUCCGUCUUCCCCUCAGAGGUGUCGGGGCUUGGCCCCAGCCUCCAUCUUCGUCUCUCAGGAUGGCGAGCAGCAGCGGCUCCAAGGCCGAAUUCAUUGUCGGAGGGAAAUACAAACUGGUACGGAAGAUCGGGUCUGGCUCCUUCGGGGACAUCUAUCUGGCGAUCAACAUCACCAAUGGCGAGGAAGUGGCAGUGAAGCUAGAAUCUCAGAAGGCCAGGCAUCCCCAGUUGCUGUACGAGAGCAAGCUCUAUAAGAUUCUUCAAGGUGGGGUUGGCAUCCCCCACAUACGGUGGUAUGGUCAGGAAAAAGACUACAAUGUACUAGUCAUGGAUCUUCUGGGACCUAGCCUCGAAGACCUCUUCAAUUUCUGUUCAAGAAGGUUCACAAUGAAAACUGUACUUAUGUUAGCUGACCAGAUGAUCAGUAGAAUUGAAUAUGUGCAUACAAAGAAUUUUAUACACAGAGACAUUAAACCAGAUAACUUCCUAAUGGGUAUUGGGCGUCACUGUAAUAAGUGUUUAGAAUCUCCAGUGGGGAAGAGGAAAAGAAGCAUGACUGUUAGUACUUCUCAGGACCCAUCUUUCUCAGGAUUAAACCAGUUAUUCCUUAUUGAUUUUGGUUUGGCCAAAAAGUACAGAGACAACAGGACAAGGCAACACAUACCAUACAGAGAAGAUAAAAACCUCACUGGCACUGCCCGAUAUGCUAGCAUCAAUGCACAUCUUGGUAUUGAGCAGAGUCGCCGAGAUGACAUGGAAUCAUUAGGAUAUGUUUUGAUGUAUUUUAAUAGAACCAGCCUGCCAUGGCAAGGGCUAAAGGCUGCAACAAAGAAACAAAAAUAUGAAAAGAUUAGUGAAAAGAAGAUGUCCACUCCUGUUGAAGUUUUAUGUAAGGGGUUUCCUGCAGAAUUUGCCAUGUACUUAAACUAUUGUCGUGGGCUACGCUUUGAGGAAGCCCCAGAUUACAUGUAUCUGAGGCAGCUAUUCCGCAUUCUUUUCAGGACCCUGAACCAUCAAUAUGACUACACAUUUGAUUGGACAAUGUUAAAGCAGAAAGCAGCACAGCAGGCAGCCUCUUCCAGUGGGCAGGGUCAGCAGGCCCAAACCCCCACAGGCAAGCAAACUGACAAAACCAAGAGUAACAUGAAAGGUUAGUAGCCAAGAACCAAGUGACGUUACAGGGAAAAAAUUGAAUACAAAAUUGGGUAAUUCAUUCAUUUCUAACAGUGUUAGAUCAAGGAGGUGGUUUUAAAAUACGUAAAAAUUUGGCUCUGUGUUUAAAAAAAAAAAAAAAAGACGUCCUUGGAAAAUUUGACUACUAACUUUAAACCCAAAUGUCCUUGUUCAUAUAUAUGUAUAUGUAUUUGUAUAUACAUAUAUGUGUUUAUAUUAUAUCAUUUCUCUUGGGAUUUUGGGUCAUUUUUUAACAACUGCAUCUUUUUUACUCAUUCAUUAACCCCCUUUCCAAAAAUUUGGUGUUGGGAAUAUAAUAUAAUAUAAUCAAUCAAUCCAAAAUCCUAGACCUAACACUUGUUGAUUUCUAAUAAUGAAUUUGGUUAGCCAUAUUUUGACUUUAUUUCAGACUAACAAUGUUAAGAUUUUUUAUUUUGCAUGUUAAUGCUUUAGCAUUUAAAAUGGAAAAUUGUGAACAUGAUCUAAUAUCAAGAGGUGAGUCUGGCAUUACCCCCGAAGUGUCCAUCUUCUCAGUUGCAGAGCAUCUCAUUUACUCUCUUAAAUGCUCACAUAACUGCAAAACUAAGCACAUCUCUUCUAGUCACAAAAAUAAUUCUCUUAUUUGCAGUUUAACUACAUAUGAUCUUAAUUUCAAAGUAAUUUCUUUGGUUUUGGCUUUAUUUUUUACAAUGUUGCAAAUAUCAGGCUCUCAGGGUUUAAUGUGCAAUUAAAGUCUACAGUCAGGCCUUGCAAAUUGAAGAUGACUGGGGCAAAUGCUAUUGAAACUGGUGGUCUACUUCCUUUCUACCUUUCUCUGGCACUCUUACUGCCUGUAAGGAGUAGAACUGUUAGAGCACACUGUUGCCAUACAGUUUGACUCCCAUUUUCAUGUUUUAUUUUUCUUUUCCCGUUUCUGGGGCUUACUUCCUGAUAGCUGCCUACUUUCUGGAAGUAGUGGGCAAGUAAGAUUUGGCUUUUGGUUUCUAAUUUUUAAAUUUCUGAAUGACUGCUCUAGUCUGAACUUGGCCUUUAUGGAUUAAUAUUUGCUUCACAUUUUUAGUGUUGUAUUUAAACUAUUUUAUAAUUUAAAAGUAGAUUCUAAUCUGAAGAUUCUUUUCAAGAAAUAUUAAUAACUGAUGUCAUCCUCAUCCCGGGAGCUCAUCUGUUAGGAAUGAAGUUGAAAUGCUUCUCUUACAUGUUUCUGUAUUUGGGAAGGAUUCAAAGUUGAUGGUUUACUGUCAUUGGGAUUUUCAGAUGGUGACAUUUAAACUCAGGAUAGCAAACACUAAUGUUCGCACAGUGUUCUGCCUCUGCAUCUCAGUUGGUCCUUAAUUGCCCCUUUUCAGUGUUUUAAUCAUUGUAUAACUAAUCAUAGUGCCAAGAAGUUCAUAAUGUGUCAUGUAGCUAGUGUCACUGAAAAACAGUCCUACCAUUUAAGUAAGAGUCUCUAACCCAAGGACCUGCUACACCAGACACCUAUAGUGUAUUGUGCUUUUUCUCACAAAAUGAGACCAAUUCUGCCUGAAGCUAGCUGGGAUAAUAGGAUCGUCACAAGUUGCAGUUUCUGUAACUAUAAUUAGAUUGAAAUCUCAUCUGACCUAGAACAUUUUACUUCAGGCAUUCAGCAGACUUCAGAAAGAAUUAACUUUUUUUUUGAGUUAGUUCCUUUGUUAGUUUACUUUGUGUCUCUUAUUCAAUAAAUGAGCAGAAUUUUUGUCCUGCCUUAUCCAGGUUGUAAAGAUGAGAAGUUGGAUCCACUCAGUUGGGAUGUUUCCUUGGGGGGGGGGAAACUGUAAUUAAACUUGUUUAAUUCUUGUUUUGUAUUGUAGCUAUUUUUCAUAAAAGCAACUUAAAAUCUUAUACAAAUUUUAUAGCACCAUUAGACACAGUGGUCAUACAAAUUAUCACAUAAACAUGGACUUGAAAAAUUAGACUUUUCCUAAAACACAUCAUAUGUCAUUGACUGCUUUUCAUAGAUACACUUCAAAGGCCAUACAUCUGUAUUGCUACCAAAAAGUGCCGCUUCACCUAACACAGACUCCUUUUUGCUCUUUGACAUCUUGAAAACACCCAUUUGUUUUUUAAUACAAAACUUAGUGCUCAAGACAAAUCUUACAUGAAACCCUCAUAAACCAUGAAAAUAUGGAUGGUCUUAGGGUCUUAGGUAUGAAAUAAGCAUUAGGAACAUAGUCUCCUAAUUUCAACCCCCAGCCCAGCAGAUUAUUCUUUAAGAAAUCUCCUAGGAGUUCUGGAAUUAGAAAACAAUUGCCCUGGGUUAUUCCUGCUUCCAGUCUCUAAGUAACAAGGGCGUUUGAAAGCAUCGUCUCUUCAGGUCCACUGUAGUGGUUUUUUAUUUAAGAAGUAACUCAACUGGGCAUGGUGGCUUAUGCCUGUGAUCUCAGAACUUUGGGAGGCUGAGGCCAACAGAUCACUUGAGGCCAGGAGUUUCAAGAGCCUGGCCAACAUGGUGAAAACCUGUCUUUACAAAAAUUAGCCAGGUGUGGUGGCGUGCACCUGUGGUCCCAGCUAGUUGGGAGCCUGAGGCAUGAGAAUCGCUUGAACCUGGGAAGCAGAGGUUACAGUGAGCCGAGAUUGAGCCACUGCACUCCACCCUGGGUGAUUGAGUGAUACUGUCUCAAAAAAAAGAACUCAUACAGCUCAAUGAUUCAUUGAUCCCAGUAAAUCCUUUUAAUAAUAAUGAAAACAUCCUACUAGGUUUUUCUAGUUAAAAACUUUUAAGACAAGCGCAGUGGCUCGUGCCUGUAAUCCCAACAUAUUUGGGAGGCUGAGGUGGGAGGAUGUAGGAGGAUUGCUUGCCUCCAGGAAUUCUAUCCUUUCGUGGGCCACGUAGUAAGACCCUGUCCAGCCCCUCCAGCACUCCCCCCCAAAAAAGCCAGGCAUGGUGGUACACGCCUGGGGUCCCAGCUACUUUGGGAGGCUGAGGUUGGAGUAUCACCUGAGCCCUGGAGGUUGAGGCUGCAGUGAGCUGUAAUCACACCACUACACUCCAGCCUGGGCAACAGAUGAGACCUUGUGUCACAAAAAAGAAUUUUUAAAAGGUGCUUUUUAAAUGCAUUUUAUCAUUUGCUCUUGACAGAGUUAAAUUUUCAGAGGCUUUAGUAUUAUUAAGUGUCAUGAGUACGUUAAGCAAGUAAAUCUCUAAUGUAGGAAAAUCCCUCAAAUGGUAACAUUUACUCAUGUUUUAUAUGGUUAUUUUUGAAAAAUAUAUCUAAUAUUUCUCUAGUAAAAAUGGUGUUGUUUUAGUAACUUACUAGGAAUGUUUAAAGAUUCUUUAAGUCUGGCUUAUGUAGCUAAUGUGGGCCUAUUAAAUAAUAGACAGACUUGUGUCUUUGUUAUAUUCUUUAGGGCUUUUCAAAUACUCCAUUCCAAAGCCCAUCAAAAGGUCAAGAAACAAGGCCUUUCCCUUUAUGCCAAUUAUUAUCUGUACUGCUUUUAAGGUUCAAUUACCACAAGAUUAUAAUUAAUGUUUUUAUUCAUGUUCAGAAGAAAAAUACAUACAUUUCGCACCAACAUACUUUGAAAUCCAUUUCUCUCCUUUGACUAUAUGUGAUUAUCAAAAAAGUAUUUUUCAAGACAUUAAAAAUAAGUAAAGGAAAAGGAAAUAUUUUUAGAACAUUCAAAAUCCAAUGAAGUUCAGUGUUUCUUUAGUUGAGGGCAGAGGUGGAGGAGAAUUUCAGAAGGUAGUGAACCCAAAGGUGGAUUCUUACAUAAUUCUACUAUUCUGUUCUCUAACCCAUCUGUUUACUACCCUAACCAUAGUUACCAAGUAGAGUUUUAUUGUUAGUAUAGGUAGCUAUCAAAGUGUUGACAUUCAAAGGAGAUUACAAAUGAUUAUUUUUCUAUCAAAUGGACCGACCAUGUCCGCAGUAUUCCUUGAACUACCUUCCAGUUUUCCUGGGCUGCAUCUACCAUUUAUGCCUAGUUUAACUUUUUUCUGACUUCGCCAAUUGCUGCUAGGAAUGUGCUGGUCAUUCAGCAGCACAACCAGAUCACAGGGGAAGAUCUUGAAAUAUCUGGACGAACUGAUCGGUCUGAAUACACUGCCCUGAAUACACUCAAUUCAAAGAAGUGCCAGGGAACUACAUCUUCUUGCUGAAGCCUUGAAUUUUUGUCAGAUUUUUUUUACUGUGGACAGUAAAGCUGGAAAGAAGAUCUAAAUAACCCAGCUGGAAAUGCAGAUAGAUGAAAGUGUAAGAGUUGGUUUGUGGUCAUCUGGAGUCCACGUCUCCAAGGCUGCUGGACCUUCAAAUUUUGCAACUUGUUAGAUCUUCUGGAUGAUAGCACAACUGUUAGAAGACCUGGAAGAAUACAGUGUUGCUGGGACUCAGUGGUGUUCAAUGAGACCAUCUACCAGCUGGGGAAAGAAUUAAUUACAACAGGUUUCUAAGCAUGAACUGAGGAACAGAAGAAGCAGAGCAGAUGAUCGGAGCAGCAUUUGUUUCUCCCCAAAUCUAGAAAUUUUAGUUCAUAUGUACACUAGCCAGUGGUUGUGGACAACCAUUUACUUGGUGUAAAGAACUUAAUUUCAGUAUAAACUGACUCUGGGCAGCAUUGGUGAUGCUGUAUCCUGAGUUGUAGCCGCUGUAAUUGUGAAUAUUAACUGAGAUAGUGAAACAUGGUGUCCGGUUUUCUAUUGCAUUUUUUCAAGUGGAAAAGUUAACUAAAUGGUUGACACACAAAUUGGUGGAGAAAUUGUGCAUAUGCCAAUUUUUUGUUAAAACCUUUUGUUUUGAACUAUACUGCUUUGAGAUCUCAUUUCAGAAGAACGGCAUGAACAGUCUUCAGCCACAGUUGUGAUGGUUGUUAAUGCUCACAAUUGUGCAUUCUUAGGGUUUUUCCAUCCCUGGGGUUUGCAAGUUGUUCACUUAAAACAUUCUUAAAAUGGUUGGCUUCUUGUCUGCAAGCCAGCUGAUACGGUAGCAACCAAAGAUUCCAGUGUUUGAGCAUAUGAAAGACUCUGCCUGCUUAAUUGUGCUAGAAAUAACAGCAUCUAAAGUGAAGACUUAAGAAAAACUUAGUGACUACUAGAUUAUCCUUAGGACUCUGCAUUAACUCUAUAAUGUUCUUGGUAUUAAAAAAAAAAAACAAAGCAUAUUUGUCACAGAAAUUUAGUUAACAUCUUACAACUGAACAUGUAUGUAUGUUGCUUAGAUAAAUGUAAUCACUGUAAACAUCUAUAUGAUCUGGGAUUUUGUUUUUAUUUUGAAAUGGGAGCUUUUUUGUUUACAAGUUCAUUAAAAACUAAAAACUGUUUCUGUAAGGAAAUGAGAUUUUUUUUUAAACAACAAAAAUGCCUUGCUGACUCACUAUAAAAUAAAAAUCUCCCCAAUUUUUUGAUAGACUACUUUAAGCCAUUUGUUACAUGGUAUUCCUUUGCAAGUCAAUUUAGGUUUCGUGUUAACUUUUCCUUUAAAAAAAAAAAAAAUCUAAUUCUUUUGUCUGAAGGGGAAAGGCAUUCUUUCAUUUUUGUUUUUUUAUGACUUGCAGGCACAAUAUCUAGUACUGCAACUGCCAGAACUUGGUAUUAUAGCUGCUGCCCGCUGACUAGCAGCUAGACUGAUUUUGAAUAAAGAUGAAAGCAUUAAAGGGUUUUCCUAUAAAACGUUUUUCUUUACAAUACUUGUGAAAUGGCUAUAAGCAGUUGACUUUCACCCUUGGAGAGCAUCACACUGUGUGAGGUUCAGUGAUCGUUGACCCUCCCCAACCCCUCCUGCUUCUUUAUCUGUCUUUAUCUGUGUGCGUGCGCUUCCUCUCAAUUUUCUUUGCACGCUCAUUUCUUUUUCUCUGACCCAAGAGAAAGGAAAACUUACUGAUGAUAAUUUUAAAGUAGUGUAAUUUAUUCAUUUAUAGCAUGUCAGGAUAAAUUAAAAGAGCAUUUGUCUGGAAAUGCUGCCAGGAGCCUAUUGUGUAAAUGUAGGUAUUUUGUAAAAUAACAUUGAAAUUGUAAAUUGACACGUGUUUGGUCAGAUUGUGUCAACUUUAAUUUGUUUUGUUUUCUUUUUUCUUUUUCUUUUUUUUAUUUGAAAACUACUUUAGCAAUAAUUAAUUCCAUGAUUAUCACAUUCUGCCAUUAAGGGAGAUAGUACCGUAAUACUGAAGAAAUCUUAUUAAGUCUGAACUUUUGGGGUAGGCAGCUUUUUUGUUUCUUUUCUAUCCACCCUUGUCAGUUGAGGUAUUUGUUUCUUGACUAAUAAACCCUUUGAUACUUUUAGCCAGAAAUUGGUCUCAUAAAGCUAUUUUUGAGUAUAGUUUGUGUAAAAUAAAACUGUUUAGCUUUGGUAAUAACUUUUCCAAGCUGAACUCCCUCUAGCAAGAUAUUUUUCAGUGCUUUUCUUUACUAUGCACUUAGACUAUGCACUUUUUCUGAAAUAUUUUUGUAACACUUUUUUGUAUUUUUGCCAUUUGAAAAGGUUGUGGUGUAGUUGGUCUGUAAUUAAGUUGCAGAUUUAAAACUGCUGUUAGCUUUGUAAAUCAAAAUAUAGGUGUUUUUUGUCCUGGUAUAUCAUCAUUCCAUCUGCAGCUGGAGCUGGAAUCCCAUUGAUCUUCUAGCUACCAUUCAUUUUCUUCACAGUUCACAAAAGAAGAAUGUGAAAUUCAGUGAAUGCUGUUACUAAUCCUGUCGCGAGAUGAAUCUCAUUUCACCAAAAUUAAAUUAUGUUUUUCCGCUAAAAUGAUGAUACAAGUUGAAGACACAUCACUCUGAAAUUGGAAGACCUCACCACUUAAGGCUCCACAGUGGCUUACUCAGCUGAACUCUAGGUUACUACUCUUUACUUUGUUCACCCAUUGGGGGGUGCAGUUUUUUUAAAAUGUUGGGAGAUGGCCAUUCUAACUACUGUUGAAUGUCUCUGUUUUGGGAAGGUAUAACAAGAAAUAAAAAAGAAUAUAUAUGAAGGGA